rnacentral:rRNA from 1 species
UACGUAGGGAGCAAGCGUUGUCCGGAAUCAUUGGGCGUAAAGCGCGCGUAGGCGGCCCUGUAAGUCCGUUGUGAAAGUCAAAGGCUCAACCUCGAGACGCCGAUGGAAACCAUCUGGCUAGAGUCCGGAAGAGGAGAGUGGAAUUCCCGGUGUAGCGGUGAAAUGCGCAGAUAUCAGGAAGAACACCGGUGGCGAAGGCGGCUCUCUGGACCUGUUCUGACGCUGAGGAGCGAAAGCGUGGGGAGCGAACAGG